rnacentral:rRNA from 1 species
UACGUAGGGGCCUAGCGUUGUCCGGAAUUACUGGGCGUAAAGAGCUCGUAGGUGGUUUGUCGCGUUGUUCGUGAAAACUCACAACUCAAUUGUGGGCGUGCGGGCGAUACGGGCAGACUGGAGUACUGCAGGGGAGACUGGAAUUCCUGGUGUAGCGGUGGAAUGCGCAGAUAUCAGGAGGAACACCUGCGGCGAAGGCGGGUAGCUGGGCCGACACUGACGCUGAGGCGCGAAAGCCAGGGGAGCGAACGGG